rnacentral:lncRNA from 1 species
GCUGCAGCAACUUAGUGUUCUGGGCAGACUCGGCGAUGCCGGAGGCUCUUUCUCCUGUCCUGCUCCAGCCUAAGCUUUCAGCAGGCCCCGUGUGACGUCAACAACUCCACGUGGAAGCUGCAGAUCUAGGAUUUGACGUUAUACCAGCAAACCGCACAGCUAACUUACUUCAAGGUCGUGGCCACAUCUCUUCCCUUUAUGUGACAUUCUGCCAUCAGAGCACUGUGCUGGGAGAGAGUCUGAAUAUUAUUUUAAGAUUCGGAAUUAAAACCCCCCAAAAAGAGGGGGACUGGAAGACGUGUGAUUUAACACAGUUGGCUAAAGGAAUCUCAACUCAAGGAAUUGUUAAAUUGCUGGGGCUUAGAGGCUCUUUUUUACUUCUAGCUCUACAUACCAUGAAAAUAAAGAUACCCCCUUCAGGCUUACUUCCUUGUUGAGGGAGAGGUGUUUACGUUCAAAGUCAUGGAGAAAAUAGAGAGCACUAGACCUUCAACUCUCUGGUGUCCUCCUAGUUCUUCCACAGGAGUCGUGUGCUCUUCCUUCCUUCUGUAAAGUUUCUGGCUUCCAGGACAGUACUUUUACCACAUAGAACACAGACUAGAC